CAUCCUCUGCGGUGUUCGUGAACCGGCUUCGUUAUCCCUUGAGCCUAUGUAUUGUCGACAGGGAGCCGAGAUCACUGUAGUGGUGUGCAUGUCCGCUCCGAGCGGAAAGCCUGAUCUGCAGCCGAGGUUCCCACUUGAACCUGACGGUUCAAGGUCACAAACCGGAAACGGCACAGGCGGAGGAUGC
rnacentral:other from 1 species